UACAGAGGGUGCAAGCGUUAAUCGGAAUUACUGGGCGUAAAGCGUGCGUAGGCGGUUCUCAAGUCCGUUGUGAAAGCCCGGGCUCAACCUGGGAAUGGCAUUUGGGACUGCAAGGCUGGAGUGCGGCAGAGGAGACUGGAAUUCCUGGUGUAGCAGUGAAAUGCGUAGAUAUCAGGAGGAACACCGAUGGCGAAGGCAGGUCUCUGGGCUGACACUGACGCUCAUGCACGAAAGCGUGGGGAGCAAACAGG
rnacentral:rRNA from 1 species